UGAGGAAUAUUGCGCAAUGGGGGCAACCCUGACGCAGCGACGCCGCGUGGGCGAUGAAGGCCUUCGGGUCGUAAAGCCCUUUUCCCACUGACGAGACAAGGACGGUAGGUGGGGAAUAAGUCUCGGCUAACUACGUGCCAGCAGCCGCGGUAAAACGUAGGAGGCGAGCGUUAUCCGGAGUUACUGGGCGUAAAGCGCGUGUAGGCGGUCAGGGAAGUGGCUGGUGAAAGCGCUCGGCUUAACCGAGCAAGCGCCGGUCAGACUGCUUGGCUAGAGGUCUGGAGAGGGACGCGGAAUUCCGGGUGUAGCGGUGAAAUGUGCAGAGAUCCGGAGGAACACCAGCGCCGAAAGGGGCGUCCUGGCCAGAUACUGACGCUGAGACGCGACAGCGUGGGGAGCGAA
rnacentral:rRNA from 1 species